rnacentral:rRNA from 1 species
AAAGGUAAGCUACUAAGAGCGAAUGGUGGAUGCCUUGACUGGUAAAGGCGAUGAAGGACGUACUAGACUGCGAUAAGCUACGGGGAGCUGUCAAGAAGCUUUGAUCCGUAGAUUUCCGAAUGGGGCAACCCAAUGUAUAGAGAUAUACAUUACCUAUAUAGGAGCGAACGAGGGGAAUUGAAACAUCUUAGUACCCUCAGGAAAAGAAAUCAAUAGAGAUUGCGUCAGUAGCGGCGAGCGAAAGCGCAAGAGGGCAAACCCAGUGCUUGCACUGGGGGUUGUAGGACUGCAAUGUGCAAGAGGUGAGUUUAGCAGAACAUUCUGGAAAGUAUAGCCAUAGAGGGUGAUAGUCCCGUAUGCGAAAAACAAACCUUAGCUAGCAGUAUC